rnacentral:rRNA from 1 species
GGUUUGAUCCUGGCUCAGAUUGAACGCUGGCGGGAUGCUUUACACAUGCAAGUCGAACGGCAGCACGGACUUCGGUCUGGUGGCGAGUGGCGAACGGGUGAGUAAUGUAUCGGAACGUGCCCUAGUAGCGGGGGAUAACUACGCGAAAGCGUAGCUAAUACCGCAUACGCCCUUCGGGGGAAAGCGGGGGACCUUCGGGCCUCUCCUUACUAUUAGAGCUUGAAGCCGAUAUCGGAUUAGCUAGUUGGUGGGGUAACGGCUCACCAAGGCGACGAUCCGUAGCUGGUUUGAGAGGACGACCAGCCACACUGGGACUGAGACACGGCCCAGACUCCUACGGGGAGGCAGCAGUGGGAAUUUUGGACAAUGGGGGAAACCCUGAUCCAGCCAUCCCGCGUGUGCGAUGAAGGCCUUCGGGUUGUAAAGCACUUUUGGCGGGAAAGAAACGGCACGGGAUAAUGCCCCCGUGCAACUGACAGCUUAUACCGCAGGGCAAAACUGCCUUUAACUACGUGCCAACAGCCGCGGUAAUACGUAAGUGCAAGCGUUAAUCGGAAUUACUGGGCGUAAAGCGUGCGCCAGGCGGUUCGGAAAGAAGAUGUGAAAUCCCAGAGCUUAACUUUGGAACUGCAUUUUUAACUACCGAGCUAGAGUGUCAGAGGGAGGUGGAAUUCCGCGUGUAGCAGUGAAAUGCGUAGAUAUGCGGAGGAACACCGAUGGCGAGAGCAGCCUCCUGGGAUAACACUGACGCUCAUGCACGAAAGCGUGGGAGCAAACAGGAUUAGAUACCUGGUAGUCCACGCCCUAAACGAUGUCAACUAGCUGUUGGGGCCUUCGGGCCUUGGUAGCGCAGCUAACGCGUGAAGUUGACCGCCUGGAGAUACGGUCGCAAGAUUAAAACUCAAAAGGAAUUGACGGGGACCCGCACAAGCGGUGGAUGAUGUGGAUUAAUUCGAUGCAACGCGAAAAACCUUACCUACUACUCGACAUGUCUGGAAUCCCGAAGAGAUUUGGGAGUGCUCGCAAGAGAACCGGAACACAGGUGCUGCAUGGCUGUCGUCAGCUCGUGUCGUGAGAUGUUGGGUUAAGUCCACAACGAGCGCAACCCUUGUCAUUAGUUGCUACGAAAGGGCACUCUAAUGAGACUGCCGGUGACCGGAGGAAGGAAGGUGGGGAUGACGUCAAGUCCUCAUGGCCCUUAUGGGUAGGGCUUCACACGUCAUACAAUGGUCUGGGACAGAGGGUCGCCAACCCGCGAGGGCCAAUCCCAGAAACCCGAUCGUAGUCCGAAUCACGCAGUCUGCAACUUCGAGCUGCGUGAAGUCAGAAUCGCUAGUAAUCGCGGAUCAGCAUGUCGCGGUGAAUACGUUCCCGGGUCUUGUACACACCGCCCGUCACACCAUGGGAGUGGGUUACCAAGUAGUUAGCCUAACCGUAAGGAGGGCGAUUACCACGGUAGGAUUCAUGACUGGGGUAGAGUCGUAACAAGGUAG